rnacentral:rRNA from 1 species
UACGUAGGUGGCAAGCGUCGUCCGGAAUUACUGGGCGUAAAGGGCGAGUAGGCGGUUCUGCAAGUCAGAUGUGAAAGGCGUGGGCUCAACCUACGCAUUGCAUUUGAAACUGCAGGACUUGAGUGCGGUAGAGGAAAGUGGAAUUCCCAGUGUAGCGGUGAAAUGCGUAGAUAUUGGGAGGAACACCAGUGGCGAAGGCGACUUUCUGGGCCGUAACUGACGCUGAGGCGCGAAAGCGUGGGGAGCAAACAGGAUUAGAUACCCUGGUAGUCCACGCCGUAAACGAUGGAUGCUAGGUGUGGGAGGUAUCGACCCCUUCCGUGCCGGAGUUAACGCAAUAAGCAUCCCGCCUGGGGAGUACGACCGCAAGGUUGAAACUCAAAGGAAUUGACGGGGGCCCGCACAAGCAGCGGAGCGUGUGGUUUAAUUCGAAGCAACGCGAAGAACCUUACCAAGGCUUGACAUCCUUCGCUACCCCAUGAAAGUGGGGAUUCCCUUCGGGGACGAGGAGACAGGUGGUGCACGGUUGUCGUCAGCUCGUGUCGUGAGAUGUUGGGUUAAGUCCCGCAACGAGCGCAACCCUUGUACUUAGUUGCCAGCAUUAAGUUGGGCACUCUAAGUAGACUGCCGGUGACAAACCGGAGGAAGGUGGGGAUGACGUCAAAUCAUCAUGCCCCUUAUGUCUUGGGCUACACACGCGCUACAAUGGUCUGUACAAAGGGAAGCGAAGUCGCGAGGCAGAGCGGAUCCCAUAAAACAGAUCUCAGUUCAGAUUGCAGGCUGCAACUCGCCUGCAUGAAGUCGGAGUUGCUAGUAAUCGCGGAUCAGAACGCCGCGGUGAAUGCGUUCCCGGGUCU